rnacentral:rRNA from 1 species
CCUACGGGAGGCAGCAGUGGGGAAUAUUGGACAAUGGGCGAAAGCCUGAUCCAGCAAUGCCGCGUGAGUGAAGAAGGCCUUCGGGUUGUAAAGCUCUUUUACCCGGGAAGAUAAUGACUGUACCGGGAGAAUAAGCCCCGGCUAACUCCGUGCCAGCAGCCGCGGUAAUACGGAGGGGGCUAGCGUUGUUCGGAAUUACUGGGCGUAAAGCGUACGUAGGCGGCCAUUCAAGUCAGAGGUGAAAGCCCGGGGCUCAACUCCGGAAUUGCCUUUGAAACUAGGUGGCUUGAACACGGGAGAGGUGAGUGGAAUUCCGAGUGUAGAGGUGAAAUUCGUAGAUAUUCGGAAGAACACCAGUGGCGAAGGCGGCUCACUGGACCGUUGUUGACGCUGAGGUACGAAAGCGUGGGGAGCAAACAGGAUUAGAUACCCUGGUAGUCCACGCCGUAAACGAUGAGAACUAGCUGUCAGGGCUCUUAGAGCUUUGGUGGCGCAGCUAACGCAUUAAGUUCUCCGCCUGGGGAGUACGGCCGCAAGGUUAAACUCAAAUGAAUUGACGG